rnacentral:rRNA from 1 species
GAUGAACGCUGGCGGCGUGCCUAAUACAUGCAAGUCGAGCGAAUGGAUUAAGAGCUUGCUCUUAUGAAGUUAGCGGCGAACGGGUGAGUAACACGUGAGUAACCUGCCCUUGACUCUGGGAUAACUGCGGGAAACUGUAGCUAAUACCGGAUACGACCCUCGGCGGCCUCGCCAGGGGGUGGAAAGAAUUUCGGUCAAGGAUGGACUCGCGGCCUAUCAGCUAGUUGGGGAGGUAACGGCUCACCAAGGCGACGACGGGUAGCCGGCCUGAGAGGGUGACCGGCCACACUGGGACUGAGACACGGCCCAGCCUCCUACGGGAGGCAGCAGUGGGGAAUAUUGCACAAUGGGCGCAAGCCUGAUGCAGCAACGCCGCGUGAGGGAUGACGGCCUUCGGGUUGUAAACCUCUUUUAGUAGGGAAGAAGCGAAAGUGACGGUACCUGCAGAAAAAGCACCGGCUAACUACGUGCCAGCCGCCGCGGUAA